rnacentral:rRNA from 1 species
GACAGAGGUGCCAAGCGUUAGGCGGAAUCACUGGGCUUAAAGCGUGUGUAGGCGGAGUGCUAAGUACCUUGUGAAAUCCCACGGCUCAACCGUGGAACUGCUGGGUAUACUGGUUCUCUUGAGCGACCCAGGGGCGAGCGGAACAAACGGUGGAGCGGUGAAAUGCGUAGAUAUCGUUUGGAACGCCAAAGGUGAAAACAGCUCGCUGGGG